GAGCCGCUAGCUCAGUCGGUAGAGCACCUGACUUUUAAUCAGGGGGUCACAGGUUCGAUUCCUCGUGCGGCUCACCA
rnacentral:tRNA from 1 species